rnacentral:rRNA from 1 species
UGCAGUCGACGGCAGCACGGACUUCGGUCUGGUGGCGAGUGGCGAACGGGUGAGUAAUGUAUCGGAACGUGCCCAGUAGCGGGGGAUAACUACGCGAAAGCGUAGCUAAUACCGCAUACGCCCUACGGGGGAAAGCAGGGGAUCGCAAGACCUUGCACUAUUGGAGCGGCCGAUAUCGGAUUAGCUAGUUGGUGGGGUAACGGCUCACCAAGGCGACGAUCCGUAGCUGGUUUGAGAGGACGACCAGCCACACUGGGACUGAGACACGGCCCAGACUCCUACGGGAGGCAGCAGUGGGGAAUUUUGGACAAUGGGGGAAACCCUGAUCCAGCCAUCCCGCGUGUGCGAUGAAGGCCUUCGGGUUGUAAAGCACUUUUGGCAGGAAAGAAACGUCGCGGGUUAAUACCCCGCGAAACUGACGGUACCUGCAGAAUAAGCACCGGCUAACUACGUGCCAGCAGCCGCGGUAAUACGUAGGGUGCAAGCGUUAAUCGGAAUUACUGGGCGUAAAGCGUGCGCAGGCGGUUCGGAAAGAAAGAUGUGAAAUCCCAGAGCUUAACUUUGGAACUGCAUUUUUAACUACCGGGCUAGAGUGUGUCAGAGGGAGGUGAAAUUCCGCG